UGUAGCAUAAGCGUCAUAGAAAGAAAGCAGUCAAAAUGGCGUCGGUUAUAGGAUCAGAAGUGGAGAUCCAAGAGGUUGAGGUGGAGUCCAUCCCCGUUGAAAUGCCCAUCGAGACGGUGGAAACCACAGACGAUACAGUCGAAGUGCAACCCAUGAUUGCUCUCCAGCCAUUACCCGAAGCGGCCCAAGAAGAGAUUGUUCUGCAGACUCGUGAGGAGGUGGUUGGUGAUCCGAACCUCGUGUAUGCUGACAGCAUCCCCGUACCAGCUCCAGAGAUUGAAAUAUCCACAGAAGAAGCAACCAUCACCCGGAAAGGCAAAGGUGGCAAGAGACGAGCCAAUAAAUCACGAAAUAUGAUAUCGACAUCAGCUGUAAAUUGUGGAGAACUGACGCUAGACACUAACUCUGCUACAAAGAAAUGGGAACAAAAGCAAGUACAGAUUAAAACUUUAGAAGGCGAAUUCUCAGUAACAAUGUGGGCUACAGGAUCUGAAGAUAAAUCCAAGCUGGAAGAUGAAAGUGUGUCGAGUGUCUCUGAAACGGAUGCAGAUUUUACUGAAUAUAUGACAGGGAAAAAGCUUCCACCAGGUGGCAUACCUGGGCUUGAUUUAAGUGAUCCGAAACAGUUGGCAGAAUUUGCACGUAACACCUCUACAGUACGUGCGAGGAAAGAAAAACGUGACCUGACCGUUGACCUGGAUGGGCUUUACCAUUCGCGCCUUUCUGGAAUAAAACCAAGAAAGCCUACUGAUGAUGUUCCCCGUACAGUGCCCUGCCCUCAUAAGGGUUGUAAUAAAAUGUUCAGAGAUAAUUCUGCUAUGAGAAAACACCUUCACACCCACGGGCCUCGGGUGCAUGUGUGUGCUGAGUGUGGUAAAGCCUUUGUGGAAAGUUCCAAACUGAAAAGGCAUCAGUUAGUUCACACUGGUGAAAAACCAUUCCAGUGUACAUUUGAAGGGUGUGGCAAGCGGUUUUCUCUUGACUUUAAUUUAAGGACACAUGUACGAAUACACACUGGUGAUAGACCUUAUGUCUGUCCAUUUGAUGGCUGCAACAAAAAAUUUGCUCAGUCUACAAAUUUGAAAUCUCAUAUCCUCACACAUGCUAAAGCAAAAACGAGAUGUGCAGAUGAACUGAAUUUAAUGCAGGGAAUUGGCAUAUGUAGUUAUGAUGAUGGGAGUGAAUUGCUUAUGCUCUAGUCCACGGUGCUCACGUCGGCGAGCCUGAGACACCACAAGCCCCCUGAAUUUAAUGGUCUCUAAACUCAAGAAGCUUCCUGCUGGAAAAUACUGUAUAUAACCCCCCAAAAUUUGAGAUGAGAAUGAUGGCUAGUUGAAAAUGUUGGUGCAGAAUUCUUCCAGAGCAAUCUCAACAAAACUACAGAGGAAACAGUGAUAGAAUUAAUUUGGUAGAUACAAGUCAAGUAAGAAAGUGGGUUGGGUAGGGACAAAAUAUAAAAAUUGGCAUUGGGGUGGGGUAUAUAUAUAUAUAGUUAUUUUAUUGUGGCUCUUCAUUAUUGCUGAAGACAUUUUGACCAGGUUUUUUUUAUUCAGAAUUAUAUUAUUUUGAAUAUUUUAACCCUCCACAUAUUCAUCAUGCCUGUAGUUAUUUGAGUCUUCAGUACCAUUUUGGUGCAAAUACUAUAUUGAAAAUAUUUAUAAUUCCAUUCAACAGUAAAUGGUUGUAUUGUCUUCAUGUUUUCUACACUGAACAUGCUCCUGCCACUGUUGCUUCUUCAGGCACCGUAACCUGUUGUAAUAAUAAUAAUAAUAAUGCUGCUAGAUGAUACUUUAAUUCCUACAUUUAGCAGAAGGUUUUUGGCAUUAAUGUCUUGGACUCCAUUCUGAGCAGAUUUUUUUCAGUUUUCUCCGUUAAAGAACUUUUUUGGUUUUUGCCACUGAUUUAGUGCAAAAGCUACUUAAUUAAUUGGCCUACAAUUAAUGACUGGAAAGAUAGAAUUUAUCAUUUGUUUCCUCUAAUGAAAUACAAUGUACAGACUGAGCUAUUCCAGGGCAGGAUCUGGCUACAAAUUAAACAUAAAAAUAAAAAAAACAAAAAAAAAUAAACAAGAAAAAGAAGGGAAAAAAUGUGUAAAUGGAAAAAAAAAAAAUAAUAAAACCUAAUUUAUGUCCUAUCUCUUAUUAUCUUUACCAUCUUUUUCAUUCCUGCUCUGAAAACUAUCUUCAAUAUUCAACAGUUGUUGAACUACAAGCAAAAAAAAAAUUUUUUAUCUUGCAUAGUGUAUCUUGUGAAAUGCCCAUUACAAACACACAUACAGACAUACAAAAAAAAAUGGAAAUAAACGUUUAACAAAUAA